rnacentral:rRNA from 1 species
AGUGAACGCUGGCGGUAGGCCUAACACAUGCAAGUCGAACGGCAGCACAGUAAGAGCUUGCUCUUACGGGUGGCGAGUGGCGGACGGGUGAGGAAUACAUCGGAAUCUACUUUUUCGUGGGGGAUAACGUAGGGAAACUUACGCUAAUACCGCAUACGACCUACGGGUGAAAGCAGGGGAUCUUCGGACCUUGCGCGAUUGAAUGAGCCGAUGUCGGAUUAGCUAGUUGGCGGGGUAAAGGCCCACCAAGGCGACGAUCCGUAGCUGGUCUGAGAGGAUGAUCAGCCACACUGGAACUGAGACACGGUCCAGACUCCUACGGGAGGCAGCAGUGGGGAAUAUUGGACAAAGGGCGCAAGCCUGAUCCAGCCAUACCGCGUGGGUGAAGAAGGCCUUCGGGUUGUAAAGCCCUUUUGUUGGGAAAGAAAAGCAGCAGGUUAAUACCCCGCUGUUCUGACGGUACCCAAAGAAUAAGCACCAGCUAACUUCGUG